rnacentral:rRNA from 1 species
UACAGAGGUCUCAAGCGUUUGUUCGGAUUCAUUGGGCGUAAAGGGUGCGUAGGCGGCGCGGUAAGUCGGGGUGUGAAAUCUUGGAGCUUAACUCCGAAACUGCAUUCGAUACUGCCGUGCUUGAGGACUGGAGAGGAGACUGGAAUUUACGGUGUAGCGGUGAAAUGCGUAGAUAUCGUAAGGAAGACCAGUGGCGAAGGCGGGUCUCUGGACAGUUCCUGACGCUGAGCACGAAGGCCAGGGGAGCAAACGGGG